rnacentral:rRNA from 1 species
UACGUAGGGUGCAAGCGUUGUCCGGAAUUAUUGGGCGUAAAGAGCUCGUAGGCGGUCUGUCGCGUCGGCUGUGAAAACCCGGGGCUCAACCCCGGGCCUGCAGUCGAUACGGGCAGACUAGAGUGCGGUAGGGGAGACUGGAAUUCCUGGUGUAGCGGUGAAAUGCGCAGACAUCAGGAGGAACACCGGUGGCGAAGGCGGGUCUCUGGGCCGUAACUGACGCUGAGGAGCGAAAGCGUGGGGAGCGAACAGG